AGCGAACGCUGGCGGCAGGCCUAACACAUGCAAGUCGAACGAAGUCUUCGGACUUAGUGGCGGACGGGUGAGUAACACGUGGGAACGUGCCUUUAGGUUCGGAAUAACUCAGGGAAACUUGUGCUAAUACCGAAUGUGCCCUUCGGGGGAAAGAUUUAUCGCCUUUAGAGCGGCCCGCGUCUGAUUAGCUAGUUGGUGAGGUAAUGGCUCACCAAGGCGACGAUCAGUAGCUGGUCCGAGAGGAUGACCAGCCACAUUGGGACUGAGACACGGCCCAAACUCCUACGGGAGGCAGCAGUGGGGAAUCUUGCGCAAUGGGCGAAAGCCUGACGCAGCCAUGCCGCGUGGAUGAUGAAGGUCUUAGGAUUGUAAAAUCCUUUCACCGGUGAAGAUAAUGACUGUAGCCGGAGAAGAAGCCCCGGCUAACUUCGUGCCAGCCGCCGCGGUAAGAC
rnacentral:rRNA from 1 species